UUCACGGGCACACUGGCCUCUUGUGGUGUCUGAGGGAGAAGGGCCCUCCUUAGAAAUCCCUGGGCUGUGAGCUCUGGGAAGGUUGUGGAACCUUUUGAAUUUUUUAUUUUGAUCGUUAAUCAAAAGUUCAAUAUCUCAUCUGGAGGAGUGAUGGAUUUCUAGCCCCUUCCUGUGUAUCUUCCUAUAGUCUGACUCCAUCCAGUCCCUCUGUCUCUGAGCCUCAGUGUCCUCCAGGAAGGACUUGCAAGACAAGAUGGGCACAAUGUAAAAACCAUGUGGGAAGUUUUGGAGAGCCUUUGUCUCUGCAAGGGAACCCCUUUACGCCAGCCAAGAUGUGGUUUGGCUCAUCCCUGGAAGCCUGAUCAACCCACCAGACCAAUUUAUAUAAAGAAAACUCUUUCUCCUCUAGAAGCCACCAACUUCAUCUAAAAUCCGUGAUAAUGGAGACCUUGUUUGGGUCUCUGCUUAUUUCUGGGGCACAGAUAUGUGCCGGUACUGAGGAAGUGUCCCACCAAUGACUUCUAAAGGGAGUUGACACUCACUGAAAGCUUGAGAGCAUCACAAAGUUACUCAAAAUCAAUUCUGGGAUAUUAAUUGGUAAAUAGAGAAAACGCUGCAUUUUUUCCCAAGUGUUGUCCUUCUUCAGCUUGUGCUGCCUGAACCAUUUGAAGCCAAGAUGUAACACAAUCAGGUCAGAAAUUCUCCAACUUGUGUUUACAUAAGUGUAUCAACAAGCAUUAGUAUCAUGAUUGCUUUGUAUAUUUUCCCGUUUUUAUACAGUAUAAGUUUUCUUGUCGAAAGAUUAUUAUUGUUACCCAUAUAAAGAGUGCUUAAAAUAAUGUGAACAAGAAAAAAGUGUCAUAUACUAAUAAAGAAAGUAUAUGAAUAAAUCAGAAAAAUAAAUGAAAUGUACAAUAAACACAAAUUCUGCUCUCGGUUAUAAUAAAAACAUAAACUGAAACUUCAAUAGUGAAACAUUUUAGCUAAUCAGUUAUUUCAUUUUCCAGUUUUGUCUCAAUAUUAAUUGUAAGGAUAUCAAGUACAUGAAAUCCAUGCUUACACUUACUGUAUAAAUAAUUAUGGUCCUGCAAGAGCCAGUGGGAAAACACACAAGAAGAGCCAAGCAUUAAUACACUUUCCUAAAUCAUGUCUUUAGGGAUUGAACAAGAAAUGGCAUUAAUUAUAAAUGUGCAACACCUUUUAGUGUCUUUAUUCUAAUAAAGUUUGAAAGUAGUUACAUAUCCCACAAUAGGAAAGAGUUAAUGAGUGAUGAUGAAAUUCAGGAAAUAUUAAAUCUACACCACCAUUUACAGAUAUUUAAACAACGUGAAGGAAGUCUCAGGAGAAUAAAAGAAACCUUUAAAUUGUGGGUCAACUGUUUUUUAUGAGUUCAAGGGCAUCUAUUUGUUUAUGUUUAUUAUUGUCUGUCUUCGG